AGAGUUUGAUCCUGGCUCAGGACGAACGCUGGCUGCGUGCUUAACACAUGCAAGUCGAACGCUGAAGCCGACAGCUUGCUGUUGGUGGAUGAGUGGCGAACGGGUGAGUAACACGUGAGUAACCUGCCCCUGAUUUCGGGAUAAGCCUGGGAAACUGGGUCUAAUACCGGAUACGACCUCCUGACGCAUGUUGGGUGGUGGAAAGUUUUUCGAUCGGGGAUGGGCUCGCGGCCUAUCAGCUUGUUGGUGGGGUAAUGGCCUACCAAGGCGACGACGGGUAGCCGGCCUGAGAGGGCGACCGGCCACACUGGGACUGAGACACGGCCCAGACUCCUACGGGAGGCAGCAGUGGGGAAUAUUGCACAAUGGGGGAAACCCUGAUGCAGCGACACAGCGUGCGGGAUGACGGCCUUCGGGUUGUAAACCGCUUUCAGCAGGGAAGAAGCGAAAGUGACGGUACCUGCAGAAGAAGUACCGGCUAACUACGUGCCAGCAGCCGCGGUAAUACGUAGGGUACGAGCGUUGUCCGGAAUUAUUGGGCGUAAAGAGCUCGUAGGUGGUUGGUCACGUCUGCUGUGGAAACGCAACGCUUAACGUUGCGCGUGCAGUGGGUACGGGCUGACUAGAGUGCAGUAGGGGAGUCUGGAAUUCCUGGUGUAGCGGUGAAAUGCGCAGAUAUCAGGAGGAACACCGGUGGCGAAGGCGGGACUCUGGGCUGUAACUGACACUGAGGAGCGAAAGCAUGGGGAGCGAACAGGAUUAGAUACCCUGAUAGUCCAUGCCGUAAACGUUGGGCACUAGGUGUGGGGGACAUUCCACGUUCUCCGCGCCGUAGCUAACGCAUUAAGUGCCCCGCCUGGGGAGUACGGUCGCAAGGCUAAAACUCAAAGGAAUUGACGG
rnacentral:rRNA from 1 species